rnacentral:rRNA from 1 species
GAUCAUGGCUCAGGAUGAACGCUAGCGACAGGCUUAACACAUGCAAGUCGGAGGGGCAUCAUGAGGUAGCAAUACCUUGAUGGCGACCGGCGCACGGGUGAGUAACGCGUAUGCAACCUGCCCGAUACCGGGGUAUAGCCCAUGGAAACGUGGAUUAACACCCCAUAGUACUUUUAUCCUGCCUGGGAUGGGAGUUAAAUGUUCAAGGUAUCGGAUGGGCAUUGCGUCCUAUUAGGUUAGUUGGG